rnacentral:misc_RNA from 1 species
GGAAAACUCACCUAUAUCCUUGAUGGUGAUAAUGUUCGCCAUGGUCUGAAUCGUGAUCUUAGUUUCAGAGCAGAAGAUCGGGCAGAAAAUAUAAGACGGACUGGGGAGGUGGCAAAGCUUUUCGCGGAUGCUGGAGUUAUUUGCAUUGCCAGUUUGAUAUCUCCCUAUAGAAAGGAACGAGAUGCUUGUCGUGCUUUACUGGCAGAAGGGGAUUUCAUUGAGGUGUUCAUGGAUGUUCCUCUGCAUGUAUGUGAGGCAAGGGAUCCUAAGGGCUUGUACAAACUUGC